rnacentral:rRNA from 1 species
UACGAAGGGGGGCUAGCGUUGCUCGGAAUCACUGGGCGUAAAGGGUGCGUAGGCGGCUUGUUAAGUCGGAGGUGAAAUCCUGGAGCUCAACUCCAGAACUGCCUUCGAUACUGGCGAGCUUGAGUUCGGGAGAGGUGAGUGGAACUGCGAGUGUAGAGGUGAAAUUCGUAGAUAUUCGCAAGAACACCAGUGGCGAAGGCGGCUCACUGGCCCGAUACUGACGCUGAGGUGCGAAAGCGUGGGGAGCAAACAGG